GUGCCAGCAGCCGCGGUAAUACGGAGGGUGCGAGCGUUAAUCGGAAUUACUGGGCGUAAAGGGCGCGUAGGCGGUCGCGCAAGUCGGGUGUGAAAGCCCCGGGCUCAACCUGGGAAUUGCAUUCGAUACUGCGUAACUAGAGUCUGGUAGAGGGAAGCGGAAUUCCGCAUGUAGCGGUGAAAUGCGUAGAUAUGCGGAGGAACACCAGUGGCGAAGGCGGCUUCCUGGACCAAGACUGACGCUGAGGCGCGAAAGCGUGGGGAGCAAACAGGAUUAGAUACCCUGGUAGUCCACGCCCUAAACGAUGAGGACUAGACGUUGGGGGGAUAAAACCCUUUAGUGUCGCAGCUAACGCGUGAAGUCCUCCGCCUGGGGAUACGGCCGCAAGGUUGAACUUAAAGAUAGUGCGUGAGACGAGUCGACGACGACACACGGAGGAGUG
rnacentral:rRNA from 1 species